GUGGGAAUAUUGGACAAUGGGCGAAAGCCUGAUCCAGCCAUGCCGCGUGUGUGAAGAAGGUCUUCGGAUUGUAAAGCACUUUAAGUUGGGAGGAAGGGCAGUAAGCUAAUACCUUGCUGUUUUGACGUUACCGACAGAAUAAGCACCGGCUAACUCUGUGCUAG
rnacentral:rRNA from 1 species